UGAAUAUUCAUGAACCAUGAGUAUAUAUAAUACAUAAAACUGAUCCAGUAGUGUAGCGUUUACUACUCGAGAUAUCAAUAGCAUGGUUGAAAUAUGACAUGUGAUUAUAGAAACUCACGUUAAAAACAAUUGAGGUGGAUUAAUUGUCAAACUGCAUAACAUUCAAGUGAUCGGAAGCAUUGAUAAACAGAAUUCAAGGUGAUAUAUUACGGAACGCGCUGGGACAUUUAAAACAGCAUGAAGCAUUUAACAGUUCAUUCAUUUUUAUUAAUUUCUGUGAUUCUUCUAUCACACGAAUUGACCAAGAACUCGGUAUCGGCCAUUCCAGCGUUGAUGUUGUGCAAUGGAAAGUGUUUUAACGGGGGAACAAUUCUGAUGCCUACAUCUAUAUUUGGAUACUGUCACUGUUUAUGUCGGAAGGGUUUUGCGGGUCCUAGAUGUGAAAUAGCUCCAAAGAAUAUGAAAUUAAGAAUGAAUUUAAAACUUUUCUUGAAAAGAUUGAGAUCCAGGUGACCACGAAAACAGUAUUUAGGUUAACGAGAUGUUCCCGGUAUUUAAUUUUUCCAAAGAGGUCGAAUAGAGACGGCGAGACUUCCGCCUAGGAGUUUUGUUCCAUCCUUAGAAGAUACUGACUAUACUAGUAUAUUUAUUUAUUUAUUGACGUGUGAACUCCUACUUUACACCCUUUAUCCUGAAGAGUGUUGGGAUGUCUUCGCUAACGGGCGCAAGGUCUUUCAAUUCGAUCAAAAAGCCAGGACGCUUCUCCGAAGUGGACGGCGGAAACUUGGUUCCUCCAACUAUUCAUUUCGUGUGGAAACGGUUUGAAGAUUCGAAAAAUCUCCUCAGAAAUCCAGUGGGAGGAGAAAAGACACAUUAUCUAGUGGACUUAGGUUUCAGUUCGGCGUUGUUAAAAACAAUGCAGUAUUUACGGAUCGAUCUCAGUUAAACUCAAUUGUCAUUGUCUCAAUUCUACUUUAUUCUGAUGAGAUCAUUCCAUUUUUAAUUUAUUUAUUAAGUCCCUUGCCGGUUACAUUGUACACUACAUAAUGCAAAUACAUGUAUCAAAUUACAUAUGUAUCUCCUCUUUUUGCCGACUCGGCAUACAUUCAAUCAAUCUGUUUUUGGAAAUAUUUUUAAAGAUCAGAUGUAUAAAAUCAGGUUUUUUUUAUUUAAAAUAUAUAUCCGAAAGAACGUGAACAAAAUUAAUGUCCAGAUAUACAGAAAAAGAUUUCAGUUGUUCAUAUUGAUGUCACUGUGAGGAAAGAAUAAAAUAAUCAAAAUAAUGUGUAUCAGUUAUCAAGCGUUGUGACACUUGUAUAUACAACUGUACCUAAUGGUUUUUGUUCUUUCCAUAAUAAGACUUCUAGCACUGUCAACAUUGUAUUACAAUAUCAUAUUCAGAUGCGAAUAGGAUUUGAGGUUGCAAAUUGUACGACAUGUGCCAAUCUUGCAUUCCAAGCCGGCUGGGGCUGCAUUUUCAUAUUUCAAAUUGAAAUAACAUGUAUGUGUGCAUUCUAAAUGUGAUAACAUGAGAUUUGUUAUUUAUAUUGUUUUCAUCUAUUUAUUAUUAUUUAUGAAUUAAACUCAAAUGUUUGAAGUUAUUGAAAAAUGUUGUCUAUUGCAAACGAAAAAAAUACAUAAACAAUAAAAAAAUUAUUAUUUUG